AGUGAACGCUGGCGGUAGGCCUAACACAUGCAAGUCGAACGGCAGCACAGAGGAGCUUGCUCCUUGGGUGGCGAGUGGCGGACGGGUGAGGAAUACAUCGGAAUCUACUCUGUCGUGGGGGAUAACGUAGGGAAACUUACGCUAAUACCGCAUACGACCUACGGGUGAAAGCAGGGGAUCUUCGGACCUUGCGCGAUUGAAUGAGCCGAUGUCGGAUUAGCUAGUUGGCGGGGUAAAGGCCCACCAAGGCGACGAUCCGUAGCUGGUCUGAGGGGAUGAUCAGCCACACUGGAACUGAGACACGGUCCAGACUACUACGGGAGGCAGCAGUGGGGAAUAUUGGACAAUGGGCGCAAGCCUGAUCCAGCCAUACCGCGUGGGUGAAGAAGGCCUUCGGGUUGUAAAGCCCUUUUGUUGGGAAAGAAAUCCAUCUGGUUAAUACCCGGGUGGGAUGACGGUACCCAAAGAAUAAGCACCGGCUAACUUCGUGCCAGCAGCCGCCGUAA
rnacentral:rRNA from 1 species